rnacentral:rRNA from 1 species
GACGAACGCUGGCGGCGUGCUUAACACAUGCAAGUCGAACGGAAAGGCCCUGCUUUUGUGGGGUGCUCGAGUGGCGAACGGGUGAGUAACACGUGAGUAACCUGCCCUUGACUUUGGGAUAACUUCAGAAAACUGGGGCUAAUACCGGAUAGGAGCUCCUGCUGCAUGGUGGGGGUUGGAAAGUUUCGGCGGUUGGGGAUGGACUCGCGGCUUAUCAGCUUGUUGGUGGGGUAGUGGCUUACCAAGGCUUUGACGGGUAGCCGGCCUGAGAGGGUGACCGGCCACAUUGGGACUGAGAUACGGCCCAGACUCCUACGGGAGGCAGCAGUGGGGAAUAUUGCACAAUGGGCGGAAGCCUGAUGCAGCAACGCCGCGUGCGGGAUGACGGCCUUCGGGUUGUAAACCGCUUUCGCCUGUGACGAGGCGUGAGUGACGGUAAUGGGUAAAGAAGCACCGGCUAACUACGUG